rnacentral:tRNA from 1 species
GGGGUUGUGGCUCAGUGGUAGAAUCCACACCUUGCACAUGUGAGGCCCUGGGUUUAAUCCUCAGCACCACA